UACGUAGGUGACAAGCGUUGUCCGGAUUUACUGGGCGUAAAGAGCGCGCAGGCGGUCGUUCAAGUCGAGUGUGAAAGCCCCCGGCUCAACUGGGGAGGGUCACUCGAUACUGAUCGACUCGAAGGCAGGAGAGGGAAGUGGAAUUCCCGGUGUAGUGGUGAAAUGCGUAGAUAUCGGGAGGAACACCAGUGGCGAAGGCGGCAUCCUGGACCAACACUGACACUGAGGAGCGAAAGCCAGGGGAGCAAACGGG
rnacentral:rRNA from 1 species